rnacentral:rRNA from 1 species
CGCCCUUAGAGUUUGAUCAUGGCUCAGAUUGAACGCUGGCGGCAGGCUUAACACAUGCAAGUCGAGCGGUAGGAGAGCUUGCUCUCUACGAGCGGCGGACGGGUGAGUAAUGUCUGGGAAACUGCCUGAUGGAGGGGGAUAACUACUGGAAACGGUAGCUAAUACCGCAUAAUGUCGCAAGACCAAAGAGGUUCGUCUUGCCAUCAGAUGUGCCCAGAUGGGAUUAGCUAGUAGGUGGGGUAAUGGCUCACCUAGGCGACGAUCCCUAGCUGGUCUGAGAGGAUGACCAGCCACACUGGAACUGAGACACGGUCCAGACUCCUACGGGAGGCAGCAGUGGGGAAUAUUGCACAAUGGGCGCAAGCCUGAUGCAGCCAUGCCGCGUGUAUGAAGAAGGCCUUGGGGUUGUAAAGUACUUUCAGCGAGGA